rnacentral:rRNA from 1 species
CAGUCGCCGCGGGAAUACGAAGGGGGCUAGCGUUGUUCGGAUUUACUGGGCGUAAAGCGCACGUAGGCGGAUCGAUCAGUCAGGGGUGAAAUCCCAGAGCUCAACUCUGGAACUGCCUUUGAUACUGUCGAUCUGGAGUAUGGAAGAGGUGAGUGGAAUUCCGAGUGUAGAGGUGAAAUUCGUAGAUAUUCGGAGGAACACCAGUGGCGAAGGCGGCCCACUGGUCCAUUACUGACGCUGAGGUGCGAAAGCGUGGGGAGCAAACAGGAUUAGAUACCCGCGUAGUCCCUGUCUCUUAUAC